rnacentral:rRNA from 1 species
AAAUGCGGUAGCUACACAUGCAGUCGAACGGCAGCACAGGAAAGCUUGCUCUCUGGGUGGCGAGUGGCGGACGGGUGAGGAAUACAUCGGAAUCUACUUUGUCGGGGGGGAUAACGUGGGGAAACUUACGCUAAUACCGCAUACGACCUACGGGUGAAAGCAGGGGACCUUCGGGCCUUGCGCGAUUGAAUGAGCCGAUGUCGGAUUAUCUAGUUGGCGGGGUAAAGGCCCACCAAGGCGACGAUCCGUAUCUGGUCUGAGAGGAUGAUCACCCACACUGGAACUGAGACACGGUCCACACUCCUACGGGAGGCAGCAGUGGGGAAUAUUGGACAAUGGGCGCAAGCCUGAUCCACCCAUACCGCGUGGGUGAAGAAGGCCUUCGGGUUGUAAAGCCUCUUUUGUUGGGAAAGAAAUCCAGCUGGCUAAUACCCGGUUGGGAUGACGGUACCCAAAGAAUAAGCACCGGCUACCUUCGUGCCAGCAGCCGCGGUAAUACGAAGGGUGCAAGCGUUACUCGGAUAUUACUGGGCGUAAAGCGUGCGUAGGUGGUCGUUUAAGUCCGUUGUGAAAGCCCCUGGGCUCAACCUGAGAACUGCAGUGGGAUACUGGGCGACUAGAGUGUGGUAGAGGGUAGCGGAAUUCCUGGUGUAGCAGUGAAAUGCGUAGAGAUCAGGGAGGAACAUCCGUGGCGAAGGCAGCCUACCUGGACCAACACUGACACUGAGGCACGAAAGCGUGGGGGAGCAAACAUGAUUAGAUACCCUGGUAGUCCACGCCCUACACGAUGCAACUGGAUGUUGGGCGCAAUUUGGCACGCACUAUCGAAACCUAACGCGUUAAGUCGCCCGCCUGGGGGAGUACGGUCCCAAGACUGAAACUACAAAAGGAAUUGACGGGGGCCCCGCACCAAGCGGUGGAGUUAUGUUGGAUUUAAUUCGUAUGCACGCGAAGAUCCUUACUGGGCCUUGGACAUGGCGAAGAACUUCCAAGAAAUGAUGGGUGCCUUCAGGAAACUCCAAACACAGGUGGCUGCAUUGCUGUGCAUCUCCGCGUGGCAUGAAAUGUGGAUAAUCCCCAACGAACGCCACAUCUGUCUUGUAUGGCACUCCUAUGGGGUACCCUUAAGUAAACCCGCGGUGAGCAC